UACGUAGGGUGCGAGCGUUAAUCGGAAUUACUGGGCGUAAAGCGUGCGCAGGCGGUUCGUUAAGACAGAUGUGAAAUCCCCGGGCUUAACCUGGGAACUGCAUUUGUGACUGCAUAGCUAGAGUACGGUAGAGGGGGAUGGAAUUCCGCGUGUAGCAGUGAAAUGCGUAGAUAUGCGGAGGAACACCGAUGGCGAAGGCAAUCCCCUGGACCUGUACUGACGCUCAUGCACGAAAGCGUGGGGAGCAAACAGG
rnacentral:rRNA from 1 species